GAUGAACGCUGGCGGCGUGCUUAACACAUGCAAGUCGAACGAAGCAUUUAAGAGAGAUUACUUCGGUUUGAGGUCUCUUAUGACUGAGUGGCGGACGGGUGAGUAACGCGUGGGUAACCUGCCACAUACAGGGGGAUAGCAGCUGGAAACGGAUGGUAAUACCGCAUAAGCGCCCAGUACCACAUGGUACAGUGUGAAAAACUCCUGUUGGAUGGGUGGGACGGGCAUCUGAUUAGUUAGUUGAUGGAUUAACGGCACCCCAAGGCGAGGUCCAGUAGACGAGCUGUGAGGGUGAGCCGCCACACUGGGACUGGGACACGGUCCAGACUCCUACGGGAUGCAGCAGUGGGGAAUAUAGCAAAAUGGAGGAAACUCAGAUGCAGCGACGCCGCGUGAGUUAUGAAAUAGUUCGAUAUGUAAUGCUCUAUCAGCAGGGAUGAUAUUGACGGUACCUAACUAAGAAGCUACGGCUAAAUACGUG
rnacentral:rRNA from 1 species